rnacentral:lncRNA from 1 species
UGAACGCCGGGUGAGCUACCCGGAUGGCUCUUCCGGUUCUUUGUGCGGCCUUCACCCAGUGAGGGAGCCUGUGCCCCCCUGCCCAGUCGCUUUCGGGGCGCUGAGGAGCUUCCGCUGCCAUCUUCGGAUGCCGUGUCCCGCACGGAGGGUCCACCAGGGCAGGGAUAGUGGUUCAAACAAUACAGAAGUGUAUAAAGUAAGAAUUGAAAGUCUCUUCGCUGCUCUAAUCUCACUCCUCAGAGGUGAUCACUGGACCUGAGUGAGCAGAAGGCUUUUCAGAACAGCCUGAACUAUUUCUUGAGCAGUUUGGGAACUCAUUUCUAAAGCAGUCCUCGGAUUCACACAACAUAGUUUGUGACGGAGUAUGCCCAGAGCAGUGUGGAAGAUGAUCAAAGUAUGACGUUUCUUCUACCCCAGAGGUUGGCAUUUCUGCAGGCACAAAUGAGCUUGGUUUUCAAGCACCAGUCUUUGAGCACAAGGAAUUCCUUUAAUGAUCACGGGCUAGAUAGACUUUGGAAUCAGACUCUUUGAAUUCCAGCUCUGCCAUUUACCAACUUUGACACUUUGGAUAGGGUCUCAUUCUGUCAGCCAGGCUGGAGUGCAGUGGCACUAUUAUAGCUCACUGCAGCCUCAAAUGCCUGGGCUCAGGCAGUCUUCCCACCUCUGCCUCCUGAGUAGUUGGGACUACAGGCAUGUGCCACCAAGCCCAGCCAAUUUUUCAGUUUUAAAUUUUUUGUAGAGAUGGGGGUCUUGCUAUGUCACCCAGGCUGGUCUUGAACACCUGGCCUCAAGUGAUCCUCCGGCCUCGCUCUCUCAAAGCUCUGGGAUUACAGACAUGAGCCACUGCACCUGGCUCUGUCUCCCCUUCCUAUGUGUGUUGGCUCUAGAACAAGAGAAGCCUUGUUGAGAUUCAUGGCUGCCCCUUGCACCCCAUCACCUCUCUGACUUUGGGCAAGUUGCCUGGUCUCUCUCAGCCUUUAUUUUCUUUUUGUGAAAUGGGGAUAAUAAUAGUACUUGCCUCAUAGGCAAAAUGUUGUGAGAACUAAAUGAGAAAAUACAUGUAAAGCUCUUGGCACUUAGGUCUUUUUAUGAUUAUGAUGAUAAUCACACAUAAUAAAUUAUUUCUCACAUCACAUGC